CUACGGGCCGCUGCAGUGGGGAAUCUUAGACAAUGGGGGAAACCCUGAUCUAGCCAUGCCGCGUGAGCGACGACGGCCCUAGGGUUGUAAAGCUCUUUCAGCAGGGAAGAUAAUGACGGUACCUGCAGAAGAAGUCCCGGCUAACUCCGUGCCAGCAGCCGCGGUAAUACGGCGGGGACUAGCGUUGUUCGGAAUUACUGGGCGUAAAGCGCGCGUAGGCGGAUUGUUAAGUCGGGGGUGAAAUCCCGGGGCUCAACCCCGGAACUGCCCUCGAUACUGGCAGUCUUGAGUUCGAGAGAGGUGAGUGGAAUUCCGAGUGUAGAGGUGAAAUUCGUAGAUAUUCGGAGGAACACCAGUGGCGAAGGCGGCUCACUGGCUCGAUACUGACGCUGAGGUGCGAAAGCGUGGGGAGCAAACAGGAUUAGAUACCCGUGUAGUC
rnacentral:rRNA from 1 species